AUUGAACGCUGGCGGCAGGCCUAACAGAUGCAAGUCGAGCGGAGCGGCGGACGGGUGAGUCAUGCAUAGGAAUCUGCCUGGUAGUGGGGGAUAACGUCCGGAAACGGGCGCUAAUACCGCAUACUAUCAGAUGAGCCUAGGUCGGAUUAGCUAGUUGGUGGGGUAAAGUAGUACCAAGGCGACGAUCCGUAACUGGUCUGAGAGGAUGAACAGUCACACUGGAUCUGAGAGACGGUCCAGACUCCCACGGGAGGCAGCAGUGGGAAAUAUUGGACAAUGGGCGAAAGCCUGAUCCAGCCAUGCCGCGUGUGUGGAGAAGGUUUUCGGAUUGUAAAGCACUUUAAGUUGGGAGGCGUGACCAUCAGAAUAAGCACCGGCUAACUUCGUGCGAGCAGCCGCGGUAAUAC
rnacentral:rRNA from 1 species